CCUACGGGGGGCAGCAGUAGGGAAUAUUGCUCAAUGGGGGAAACCCUGAAGCAGCAACGCCGCGUGGAUGAUGAAGGUUUUCGGCUUGUAAACUCCUUUUGUUAGAGAAGAUAAUUACGGUAUCUAACGAAUAAGCACCGGCUAACUCCGUGCCAGCAGCUGCGGUAAUACGGAGGGCGCAAGCGUUACUCGGAAUCACUGGGCGUAAAGAGAGCGUAGGCGGGAUAGCAAGUCAGAUGUGAAAUCCUAUGGCUUAACCAUAGAACUGCAUUUGAAACUGUUAUUCUAGAGUAGGGGAGAGGUAGGUGGAAUUCUUGGUGUAGGGGUAAAAUCCGUAGAGAUCAAGAGGAAUACUCAUUGCGAAGGCGACCUGCUAGAACAUAACUGACGCUGAGGCGCGAAAGCGUGGGGAGCAAACAGGAUUAGAUACCCUUGUAGUC
rnacentral:rRNA from 1 species